UGGGGAAUUUUGGACAAUGGGCGAAAGCCUGAUCCAGCAAUGCCGCGUGUGUGAAGAAGGCCUUCGGGUUGUAAAGCACUUUUGUCCGGAAAGAAAUCCUUGGCUCUAAUACAGUCGGGGGAUGACGGUACCGGAAGAAUAAGCACCGGCUAACUACGUGCCAGCAGCCGCGGUAAUACGUAGGGUGCAAGCGUUAAUCGGAAUUACUGGGCGUAAAGCGUGCGCAGGCGGUUUGCUAAGACCGAUGUGAAAUCCCCGGGCUCAACCUGGGAACUGCAUUGGUGACUGGCAGGCUAGAGUAUGGCAGAGGGGGGUAGAAUUCCACGUGUAGCAGUGAAAUGCGUAGAGAUGUGGAGGAAUACCGAUGGCGAAGGCAGCCCCCUGGGCCAAUACUGACGCUCAUGCACGAAAGCGUGGGGGAGCAAAACAGGAUUAGAUACCCUGGUAGUCCACGCCCUAAAACGAUGUCAACUAGUUGUUGGGGAUUCAUUUCCUUAGUAACGUAGCUAACGCGUGAAGUUGACCGCCUGGGGAGUACGGUCGCAAGAUUAAAA
rnacentral:rRNA from 1 species